AAUAACACAAAACAAUCACUUCUCCUAAAUUCCUGUAAGUUCCUUACAGCACUCAAUUUAUUUCGUUUCCCAGGUUGUCCUUGACUUCUAUACCACCCAGGUACUGCUGGGAGCAUUGCAGGUCAGGAUUACACCAGCUCUCUGGGCUUUGUGUGGAAGAGCUUUUGGGUGCGGGGAUGUGCUUUGUGAAUACUCCCAGCAGCUACAAGGGACGCCUUCCAGGGAACCUGAGCUGUACUCCCUGUCCCUCAGAACGCUGUACUCUGUACACAGCAGCUCUCAUAAUGAUUGGCCGUUUGUGGUACUGACAAAAUCCCUGGUCCUGAAGCAAAAGAGAACACCAUGCAGUUGAAAUACGUGAG
rnacentral:lncRNA from 1 species